UCUAACUAACAAGAAAAGAAGGUCAUUGGCCACUCAGCAAAUACAUUACACAGGGCUUAUGAGCAGAAUCGGGGCUAAACAGAUAAGAUGGCUGGUGUGGAAGACAUCUUCCCAGAAAGCAGAAACCUUGUCUACACCACAGUAACCUGUUAAAGGGCCAGGCAUCAAGCUGCAUGCAUGCCUUCAGCACUAGCCUUUGGGAGGCAGAAACAGUUCUCUGCGAGUUCAAGGUCAGCAGGGUCUACAGAGUGAAACCCUGUCUCAGAGACAGAAAGACAGACUCAUCCCAUAAAUUCUGCUGCUCUGCAGAGCUGCUAGUGCAGCCACAGCCAUCUCUCUCUUGUGGCUACUGUUCUGGAGUGCCAACACCAGCUCACUCUAGACCCCCCACCACCACCUUGUUUUCAAGACCACGCUGGAUAUUCAGCUGAAGGCUGUCAAACACCUCUGCCUGCCUAAGCACGCCAUUUACACAGCGAAGUUCCUCAUAACUAGACUCCAAGGCUGGCCUGGGGUUCUCUGGCAGCAGACUGCCUGACACCAUUCCCGUCACGGCUUCCCGCUCCUCCUCUCAUUUCCCUGCGCGUCCACAAAUGCAGCCCCGGAGGCUGGGCUCCAAGAGAGCCCUGAUGGGGCUGUAGGAUCCAGCUGCCCUGGCCAGGACGGUCACCUCUGCCCUUGGGGACCCCAGACGGAUCAACAGGCACACGCUAACUCCACCUCCAUCAGACAGACAAGAAAUAAAGCUAAAGAAGUAGCAUUAACCUUAUUUACUCAGCUCUCCCUAAAAUGCAUAGAGAUACUCUUAAAAUAAUCCUGAUUAUUUUCAAUAUUCAAACAUAAUUACCACACCCCUUACUGAAGUACUCCUCCUCUCUGAGGGUUUGGAGACAAAAGUGAACCGAGAUAAAGGACGUACAGACACAUCCAGCAGGAGGCGGAAGAGCAGCAGUAACAGGCUCAAGACAAGACAUCAGGGUCCUGCUCAGCCAGGAGCCACCCACCACUCCCGGGUUCUUUUGCCCUCGGGCCUCUCAAUGACUUGGCUAGACCAGCUGUUGCGUGAGCCCAGGCUCCUCCUGUCUGCGCCUUGCCAUCCUCAGGUACAGACAUGCGUCUCAGGUCUUCAUGCUUGCAUAAGCAGCACUUGACAGGCCCCAGCCGUGUUACUUUCAAUGCACGGACAGAACGGAAACAGAAAGACAAGUACAGGCCUAACCCUGUCACAAGAUGACGGAAGCCACCCAUCUACCAAGCACUCCCAAAGCCCAGUGUGAACCAGCAUCUGUCCCGGCUGUGGGCCGAUGUGGAAAGCAGUAGGGGAAGUCGGGAGCAAAGGACAUAUUGGUUGGGCCUGCUCCACUAAGGCACCAAGCCCAGGCAAGAGCAAGGUGGCCGAGUGCAGCAGCCUGCCUAGAGCCCAUCUCCAACACCUAAGGCCUACUUCAGUCAUUGCAGCUCAUCUCUGACCCAGGGAACAAAACUCCACCUGAAACGCAAAACCGUGACACAGGGCCGAGGAGACAGAUUGGGAGUACUUGCUGCUCUUCUAGAGGACUCAGCCUCCCUCCCCAGCACCCACACUGAGCCUCACAGCUGCCUGCAACUGCAGUCCCAAGGGACCCAGAGCCCUCUGCUGAACCCUGCAGGACCCUGCUCCCUCAAGCUCCAGAAGACGCCAAGAUCAGCCACCCUGUCUCCAGUUCCAGAGAAAUGAGGCCUCGCUACAGCAGCUGUGUUCAACCCUACUGGAUUGGGUAUGUAUUUUUCCUCCUCUCUCUCUUGCCUGUUUCUGUCCAAGGUAAUUCCUACAAAUGGAGAUUCAAGAUUCAAGAAACUAUUGAUAAUAAACAGUCUCUCCAAAUAGGGCCGGGAAAUUGCUCUAUGGGAGACUGUCAGGAGCUGAUUGAAAUUGCCAUCACCCCCACAUCCAUCCCUCCUCUCUUAUUUGAUAGAAUUUUUGUUUGCUUCCUCUUUGAUCAAACAAAAGAUUAUUGCAAAAAAUGGCCAGACAGAUAUGGAGGCUGCCCAUAGGGUAUUGCCAAAUCCAUACACCAGCACAGAAGAAGCUUCUUCACCUGUACAAAAAGACUUUACUUAUACAUCCGAGACCCUUGGGAUCCCAGACAGGAAACAGGCAUCGUUGGAAAACUCUACCGCUGCUACACACCCAAUCUACAGAUAAGUACCAUCCAUAUCCAGAGAAAAUAUGCCCCAGUUACCCAAUCCCUGGGGAUGGGAGAAGUAGAGAAUUAAACACUCCUCUUUAACAUCCCCUCUCCUAAAUAAUACAAACCUGUCAUUUUGUCUCCUACUUCAGACUCUGAACACAGCCUAUAAGCUCCUCAUUGUGACCCAACGGUCACUUAAAGCUUGUGGCUGUGUCCCACCUGGGACCAACUCAGAACUACCGCUGACACCACCUUCUCCGGUGACUCUGUCAAGUAACCUUACUCCACCAUGCACUAAUUGCCCUGACUCUGAUGUUGCCACAACCCCCUACCUUUUUCACAUCACCCUCUUUGGCAUGGCAAGCUGUUUCAAGGCAUCCGGGACACACUCUGUAGGAAGGCUAAGUUUUAGAGUGUAAUAAAACUAUAAUCCUUGAUACCUCAUCUCAAUCCCAAAGCCCUGCUACUAAUAAUACCUCGAUUCUUUCUAGGUCUACUCUCUGCCUGCUGGCUGGUCAGGAGUGUGCACGCUGGUGCUCCUCUGAGCGUGGGUGAUAAAUGGAAAGGAGCCCUUACCAAUCCGGGUCGUGGACUCAGCAGCUGCCCAGCAGGAGAAGAGGGCAAUUCAAGUCUUGCCCCUCUGGCUGUUGCAGAAAUCACAGCAGCUGUCAGGACCUAGGCAGCAGGACUAGCCACUUCACUAACUUUGCAUUAUCAGCUUUCUUCCCAGUUCAUCCAGGACCUCCAGCAAGUGGCUCAGACAACACUAACUCCCCAAGGACAGAUCGACUCGCUGGCAGCAGUAGUACUUCAAAACUGACGAGGACUGGAUCUCCUCACAGCUAAAGAAGGUGUCCUUUCAGGGACUGUCUCUGACAUGAACUCAGUGGCUGGUUUUGCCCCCCACCCCCAGGGAGGAGCCGCCUUGCUAGGCCACAGAGCACACAGCAGCUAGUCCUGAUGAGCUAGGGUCACAUGGAAUGGGAGGAGGGCCUCCCCAUCAGUAGACUUAGAGAGGGGCAGGGAGGAAAUGAGGAAGGGAGGUUGGGAUUGGGAGGGAAUGAGGAAGGGGCUAUAGCUGGGAUACAAAGUAAAUAAACUAUAGUUAAAAAAAAAAAAAGGUGGCCUUUGCCAUCUUCCUCCAGGAAAGCAUAGUAAAAGACAAACUCCAACAACUCCAGACAAAUCUACAAAAGCGAAGGAACAGCUGGAGGCCUCUAGCUCUUAGGUCUUCGAGAAUCCCAUAUGGAAAUGGAUUCUGCCCUUCCUCACACCUCUUCUGCUGUCUUUCUGCUUUUGCUUUUUGUACCCUGCUUUAUUAACUUCUCUACAUUCCUCUAACAACAAAUACAGAAAUUCUCUAACCAAACCAUUAAUCAGUUACUCUUACAGGAUUAUCAACCUCUGCCCAUAGAACCAGAUGACAAUGACCUUCCAAUCAACCCUGAUGGUGGGAACCAGCUAUACCCUGAGAAUGACUAUGCCCCUAAUCAGCAGGAAAUAGAUUGAAAAGCAAAGGUCGCCCCUAUGCCCUCCCAACCUUAACCCCUUUCCUAGCUCCUUUUUAAUAAAAAGGGAGGAAUAUUGGGACUUGUAAGCAGGCAUCUCUACGGCCAGCCCGAGGGACCUGACAAAUGGGACAUCGGGCAUCUGUGAGGCCACCUAUGGACCACCUGAACCCACCUGCACAUGCUCUGGGCCACCUUAUAAGAGAACUUGCACCACUCUCUCUCCCCUCCCCCUCCUCCCCCAUCCAGGGACGUCUCUGUGACCCCCCUCCUCCUUUCCCUAAUAAAACCUCCCACGUG